GUGGGGAAUCUUGCGCAAUGGGCGAAAGCCUGACGCAGCCAUGCCGCGUGAAUGAUGAAGGUCUUAGGAUUGUAAAAUUCUUUCACCGGGGACGAUAAUGACGGUACCCGGAGAAGAAGCUCCGGCUAACUUCGUGCCAGCAGCCGCGGUAAUACGAAGGGGGCUAGCGUUGCUCGGAAUUACUGGGCGUAAAGGGCGCGUAGGCGGACAGUUUAGUCAGAGGUGAAAGCCCAGGGCUCAACCUUGGAAUUGCCUUUGAUACUGGCUGUCUUGAGUUUGGGAGAGGUGAGUGGAACUCCGAGUGUAGAGGUGAAAUUCGUAGAUAUUCGGAAGAACACCAGUGGCGAAGGCGACUCACUGGCCCAAUACUGACGCUGAGGCGCGAAAGCGUGGGGAGCAAACAGGAUUAGAAACCCUUGUAGUCC
rnacentral:rRNA from 1 species